ACACAGUUGGCCCAGUCAGAAGAAGACUCUAUUGCCACAAAUGAGCUUCCUUUUGGUUUUUGUCCUCUUGUUCUUAUCAGCUGCUGCUAUUGUUCAGCUGCCAGAUGUGAUCAUUAUGGAAGGGAAUGCAACCACACUGACUUGUUCUCAGGUUCAAACCAAGCAUACAUAUAUGUCCUGGUACAAGCAAGAGAAGAGGAGGGAAGCCCAUUCCCAGUUCCAGCUGGUGACUUUUACAUCUGAAGGUUCUCCAGGGCAAUCUGUCAUUGAGGAAGCCUUUAAAAAACGCUUCAAGACAUCAGGGAUGAAGUCACAUGCCUUGCCUCUGUCUCUGGAGAAUGCCCAGCUGGAAGACACAGGCAUCUACUACUGUGCUUCACAAGAGCA